rnacentral:rRNA from 1 species
AGUGAACGCUGGCGGUAGGCCUAACACAUGCAAGUCGAACGGCAGCACAGUAAGAGCUUGCUCUUACGGGUGGCGAGUGGCGGUCGGGUGAGGAAUACAUCGGAAUCUACUUUUUCGUGGGGGAUAACGUAGGGAAACUUACGCUAAUACCGCAUACGACCUACGGGUGAAAGCAGGGGAUCUUCGGACCUUGCGCGAUUGAAUGAGCCGAUGUCGGAUUAGCUAGUUGGCGGGGUAAAGGCCCACCAAGGCGACGAUCCGUAGCUGGUCUGAGAGGAUGAUCGGCCACACUGGAACUGAGACACGGUCCAGACUCCUACGGGAGGCAGCAGUGGGGAAUAUUGGACAAUGGGCGCAAGCCUGAUCCAGCCAUACCGCGUGGGUGAAGAAGGCCUUCGGGUUGUAAAGCCCUUUUGUUGGGAAAGAAAAGCAGCAGGUUAAUACCCCGCUGUUCUGACGGUACCCAAAGAAUAAGCACCGGCUAACUUCGUG